UCUUUUGCCGAACACAAGACCAAGAUUUCAUCAAUUUCCAAUUCACUAUCAUACUUGGCAGAGUUUAAGGGAUCUGAGUAGGAGGACGGAGAAUAAAUGGAGAGAUUGAUGUAUGGAUUGAUAAGAAGCAGAGCUCUGCGCAACCCCUAUUUUCAAGGAUCAGAUGUGGUUGAAGUGUUAAAAAGGUGCAUGACAUCAGCUCUGUGCUUUGAGAAGUUGAUUGAAGUCAUCCCAUAUAGGAUAUUCUGUGAUUCUUCCACCCAUAAUAUUCUUGUUUCAAGUUCUUUGUAGCCAAACAAAAACGUUCAAGUAUACACAGUCUAGGGUGCUAGUGUUGCUCAUGCGCUUCGCCCAAGAACUAUAUUUCGAAUGAAAUGAAGAAGUUCUUAUCCUCAACCUGCUUAGCCAGAUGUCACCUAUUGCAUGGCAAACUGGCGAAGAUGCUUGUAAUUCACUGUGAGCAUAAUGAUAGUGACUGCGCAUUGACCAUAUCAGGUGCAGGACUUAACUCUGCAGUUCAUGGAAUCAGGCGUGAAAGAAUUAUGGUGCACUGGCUUUAGUUUUCUCUCUUCAGUAUGUUCUAGUUAACCAUGAGUAGUGGAAAUACAAGUUAAAGCAUACUCGAUGGAGAGUGGCAUUAAAGGUGCUUGAAGUGUUGAAAAUGUGUAUUACAUAAACUUGCUCUGAAAAGCUGGAUGAAGUCAUCCUAGAUAGGAUAUUCUGUGAUUCUUACAUCCAUAAUACUCUCUUUCAGAUUGUUUGUACAACACCACAAACAUUAGAGAGACUAUGCUCCAGUCGUCUUAUUGAGCUGACAGAGAUCAAAGGUUUACAGCUGGCUAUAUGUUCUGUUCUGGAUGUUCUUUUCAUCAUGCUCUUCAAAUUUCCUAAGACGUUGAUAGUGUGCGAGUGUCGGAUCGUUUCUACUACAUAGUAUAUAUAUACUAUGACAAAUAGGGAAAAAUUGAGAGGAAAGAGAUCAAGCCACUCGACACCUGAGGAAAGAGUCAUUGUCUGCUUCCUUUGGGCCUCCAUGUCUAAGCAUUUUAGUUUGAUGACUUGAUCUCAUGGAUCGGUCUGCUAUAUUGUUUUGGGAAAUCUGAAAUUUCAUAUAUUGCUAAGCUGACAAGAUUGAGCCUGAAGCAGCAAAUCUUGUUCAGAGUUGGUCAUACCAUAAUCUUGUUUGCAUCAAGGUAUCUGGUGCCGAAUCACAGGCUUGUGCUUGAAGUGUUGAAAAGGUGUGUUACAUCAACUUGCUCCAAAAAACUGGAUGAAGUCAUCCUAGAUAGGUCACUAUGUUCUUCCAUCCAUAAUACUCACUUUUCAGAUUGUUGGUACAACACAAA